GACGAACGCUGGCGGCGUGCUUAACACAUGCAAGUCGAACGGAAAGGCCCUGCUUUUGUGGGGUGCUCGAGUGGCGAACGGGUGAGUAACACGUGAGUAACCUGCCCUUGACUUUGGGAUAACUUCAGGAAACUGGGGCUAAUACCGGAUAGGAGCUCCUGCCGCAUGGUGGGGGUUGGAAAGUUUCGGCGGUUGGGGAUGGACUCGCAGCUUAUCAGCUUGUUGGUGGGGUAGUGGCUUACCAAGGCUUUGACGGGUAGCCGGCCUGAGAGGGUGACCGGCCACAUUGGGACUGAGAUACGGCCCAGACUCCUACGGGAGGCAGCAGUGGGGAAUAUUGCACAAUGGGCGGAAGCCUGAUGCAGCAACGCCGCGUGCGGGAUGACGGCCUUCGGGUUGUAAACCGCUUUCGCCUGUGACGAAGCGUGAGUGACGGUAAUGGGUAAAGAAGCACCGGCUAACUACGUG
rnacentral:rRNA from 1 species